AGGAUGAAGAGUUUGAUCCUGGCUCAGGAUGAACGCUAGCUACAGGCUUAACACAUGCAAGUCGAGGGGCAGCAUGUGGGCGGGCUUGCCCGCCCAUGAUGGCGACCGGCGCACGGGUGAGUAACGCGUAUCCGACCUGCCGCACACUCCGGGAUAGCCUUGCGAAAGCAAGUUUAAUACCGGAUGCCGUCGAGAUGCCGCAUGGU
rnacentral:rRNA from 1 species